AUGCCUACGGGGCGCAGCAGUGGGGAAUAUUGCGCAAUGGGCGAAAGCCUGACGCAGCGACGCCGCGUGAGGGAUGAAGGUCUUCGGAUCGUAAACCUCUGUCAGCAGGGAAGAACGGUCACUGUGCUAAUCAGCAGUGAAUUGACGGUACCUGCAAAGGAAGCACCGGCUAACUCCGUGCCAGCAGCCGCGGUAAUACGUAGGGAGCAAGCGUUAUCCGGAUUUAUUGGGUGUAAAGGGUGCGUAGACGGGAAGGCAAGUUAGUUGUGAAAUCCCUCGGCUUAACUGAGGAACUGCAACUAAAA
rnacentral:rRNA from 1 species